UACGGAGGGAGCUAGCGUUGUUCGGAAAUACUGGGCGUAAAGCGCACGUAGGCGGCGCAGCAAGUCAGGGGUGAAAUCCCGGGGCUCAACCCCGGAACUGCCCUUGAAACUGCAGUGCUAGAAUCUUGGAGAGGCGAGUGGAAUUCCGAGUGUAGAGGUGAAAUUCGUAGAUAUUCGGAAGAACACCAGUGGCGAAGGCGACUCGCUGGACAAGUAUUGACGCUGAGGUGCGAAAGCGUGGGGAGCAAGCAGG
rnacentral:rRNA from 1 species